rnacentral:sRNA from 1 species
GCUGGGUAUGGUGGCUCAUGCCUGUAAUGCCAGGGACUUAGAGGCUGAGGCAGGAGGAUUGCAUGUUCUAGACCAGCCUUAGCAAGUUAGUGAGAUUCUCAACAACUUAGUGAGACCUUGUCUCAA